AACGCUGGCGGCAGGCUUAACACAUGCAAGUCGAGCGCCCCGCAAGGGGAGCGGCAGACGGGUGAGUAACGCGUGGGAAUCUACCCUUUUCUACGGAAUAACGCAUGGAAACGUGUGCUAAUACCGUAUGAGCCCUUCGGGGGAAAGAUUUAUCGGGAAAGGAUGAGCCCGCGUUGGAUUAGCUAGUUGGUGGGGUAAAGGCCUACCAAGGCGACGAUCCAUAGCUGGUCUGAGAGGAUGAUCAGCCACAUUGGGACUGAGACACGGCCCAAACUCCUACGGGAGGCAGCAGUGGGGAAUAUUGGACAAUGGGCGCAAGCCUGAUCCAGCCAUGCCGCGUGAGUGAUGAAGGCCCUAGGGUUGUAAAGCUCUUUCACCGGUGAAGAUAAUGACGGUAACCGGAGAAGAAGCCCCGGCUAACUUCGUGCCAGCAGCCGCGGUAAUACNAAGGGGGCUAGCGUUGUUCGGAAUUACUGGGCGUAAAGCGCACGUAGGCGGACAUUUAAGUCAGGGGUGAAAUCCCGGGGCUCAACCCCGGAACUGCCUUUGAUACUGGGUGUCUAGAGUAUGGAAGAGGUGAGUGGAAUUCCNAG
rnacentral:rRNA from 1 species